UCGGAGACAGGUGCUGCAUGGCUGUCGUCAGCUCGUGUCGUGAGAUGUUGGGUUAAGUCCCGCAACGAGCGCAACCCUUGUCUUUAAUUGCCAGCAUUCAGUUGGGCACUUUAAAGAGACUGCCGGUGUUAAGCCGGAGGAAGGUGGGGAUGACGUCAAGUCCUCAUGGCCUUUAUGCCCAGGGCUACACACGUGCUACAAUGGGUGGUACAAAGAGAUGCCAACUCGCGAGAGCGCGCCAAUCUCAGAAAGCCAUCCUCAGUUCGGAUUGGAGUCUGCAACUCGACUCCAUGAAGUUGGAAUCGCUAGUAAUCGCGGAUCAGCACGCCGCGGUGAAUACGUUCCCGGGCCUU
rnacentral:rRNA from 1 species